GUGCGCACGUGCUCGGCGUCCCGGGCUGCGGCAGAGGCGGAGGUGAGCGCGCGGAGCUGGCCGGGCCGACGUGCGGCUGCGGGCGGGCUCUCUCGGAGGUUUACAGAGGUGGCAGCCCUCAUGGCAGGUCCCCUGUGGCGGGCCACAGCCUUUGUGCAGAGACACAGGACGGCCCUGUUGGUGGGUUCCUGUGCAGGCCUGUUUGGGGCUCAGAUCUCGUACCACCUCUUCCCGGAUCCUGUGGUCCCGUGGCUGUACCAGUACUGGCCUCAGGGCCAGCCAGCCCCCCUGUCCCCAGAGCUGCAGAGCCUGUUCCGGGAGGUGCAGCAGGACAUCGGGGUCCCCUCGGGCCACCGCUUCGAGGCCUUCACCACCUUCACCUUCCAGCCUGUGAGCGCCGGCUUCCCAAGACUCCCUGCCGGGGCCGUGGUGGGCAUUCCCGCCUGCUUCCUGGGUGGCCCGGUGACCAAUGCUGACCGGCCCGUGGUCGUCCACGGGCAGCGAGUGGACUGGCAGAGCCCAGCGGGCGCCCGGCUGAGAGAUGCCCUGACCCUCUCCCACGACGCCCAGAAGUUCGCCUUGGCCAGGGAGGUGGUGCACCUGGAGAGCGGGGCAGCCGCCCUGAAGGCCCUGCCGGCCCCCGCCUGCCUGGUGGGCACCUGGGCGCUGGGCGUGGGGGCCAAGCACGCCCUGGGGCUCUACGGAGGCCCCAUGAACUUGCGGGCCGCCUUCAACUUGGUGGCGGCAGUGGCGGGCUUCGUGGCCUAUGCCUUGUCCACGGACUCUCUCACUCACGCCCUGGAAGCCUGGCUGGACCGCCGCACGGCCUCGCUGUCUGCAGCCUAUGCCCGGGGCGGGGUGGAGUUCUACGAGAAGGUUCUGUCGGGCAACCUGGCCCUGCGCAGCCUCCUGGGCCGGCCCGGGGAGAAGCUGUACACGCCCAGCGGGAACGUGGUUCCCAGACACUGGUUCCGCAUCAAACACCUGCCCUACACGGCCCGCCGGGACUCAGUGCUGCAGGUGUGGAGGGCGGCGCUCGGCCCCCGCAGCCCCUGAGGGCCUCGUUCCAGCUGGGGCAGCAUUUAUUGUUUGUAGAUUUUUUGAUGAUGGCCAUUCUGACUGCAGACCCCACUUUUGAUCCUUGGGCAGAAGACCCCAGCAGGAAAGAGCACAGACUCCGGACGCGCAGGCUUAGCGACCAUGGCCCACAGGCCCAGCCGCUUCGCGGCAUGUGGGAUCCUCCCGGACCGGGACACAAACCCGCGUCCCCUGCAUCGGCAGGCGGACUCUCAAUCACUGCGCCACCAGGGAAGCCCUACAUUCUUUUUUUAUAUUCUUUUCCAUGAUGGUUCAUCACAGGAUAUUGAUUAGAGUUCCCUCUGCUCUACAGUAGGACCUUGUUGUUUAUCUGUCCUAUAUGUUUAAUAGUUUACAUCUGCUAACCCCAAACUCCCAGUCCUUCCCUCCCCCAACCCUUCCCCCUUGGCAACCAAGUCUGUUCUCUAUGUCUGUGUGUAUAUUUCUGUUUUGUAAAUAAGUUCACUUGUAUCAUUUUUUUAGACUCCACAUAUAAGUGAUAUCAUAUGGUAUUUGUCUUUCUCUGUCUGACUUACUUCACUUAGUAUGAUCAUCUCUAGGUCCAUCCAUGUUGCUGCAAAUGGCAUUAUUUCAUUCUUUUUUAUGGCUGAGUAGUAUUCCAUUGUAUGUAUGGACCACAUCUUCUUUAGCCAUUCAUCUGUCAAUGGACAUUUAGGUUUCUUCCAUGUCUUGGUUAUUGUGAAUAGUGCUGCUGUGAAUAUUGGGGUGCAUGUAAUCUUUUCAAAUCAGAGUUUUCUCAGGGUAUAUGCCCAGGAGUGGGAUUGCUGGAUCAUAUUGCAACUCUUAUUUUUAGUUUUUUGAGGAACCUCCAUACUGUUCUCCACAGUGGCUGCACCAAUUUACAUUCCCAUCAACAGUGUAGGAGGGCUCCCUUUUCUCCAGACUCUCUCCAGCAUUUGUUAUUUGUAGACUUUUUAAUGAUGGCCAUUCUGACCAGCAUGAGGUGAUGCCUCAUUGUAGUUUUGAUUUGCAUUUCUCUAAUAACGAACCACGUUGGGCAUCUUUUCUAGCCAUUCAUGUAUUCUUUUCGUUGGUGGUUAUGUUUUCCCUGGAAGAGUUGAAUAAUUCAGGCCUGGUGCCAGUGUAACUCGUGACAAAGGGAUUAAGCCACACCCAGGAAGGGCACAAAGCCAGCCCGGGAGGCCCACUCAGAGGCCGGCGGUCCCUGCAGAAGACUGGAUGGAGAGAGCAGGCAGGGGUGGCCUGACUCCUGCUGGGUCCUUGACCGUGGUCUGGGCUCAGCACUCCGGCCCCAUCCUGGGUGAGCCUGGGGGUCCCCACCCUGGGCCCCAGCAGACGGCUUUCUGAGGGCAGAGCACCCGCUCUCCCUGGGCCCUGGGCAGCACUGGGCCCCACCUGGCUGCUCUCAGUAACGCAGGAGCCGGGAAGAGGCCGGC